CAAUAGCGUAUAUUAAAGUUGUUGCGGUUAAAACGCUCGUAGUUGGAUCUGCGGUUGUGGAGGACGGUCCCCCGAAAGGGUGGUCACUGUCUCUCCUAGCCUAAAUUCGAGUCGUCUCUAGGUGCUCUUUACCGAGUGCCUACGAGUGACUAGAACGUUUACUUUGAAAAAAUUAGAGUGCUUAAAGCAGGCGAAAUAGCCUGAAUAAAAUGCAUGGAAUAAUGGAAUAGGACCUCGGUUCUAUUUUGUUGGUUUUCGGAGCCCGAGGUAAUGAUUAAGAGGAACGGACGGGGGCAUUCGUAUUCCGGCGCUAGAGGUGAAAUUCUUGGACCGCCGGAAGACGGACGACUG
rnacentral:rRNA from 1 species